GCUGUGGCUCAGUGGCAAAGCAUCUGCCUUGCAUGCAAAAGGUCCUGGGUUCAAUCCCCAGCAUCUCCA
rnacentral:tRNA from 1 species